rnacentral:ribozyme from 1 species
AGUAGCGAUACUGCACUGGUAAGGUAUGGAUCCGAAGCCUCGUCAAGGCCAACAAAGGCUCUCCAUACCCUACUUCAACUCAAUACGUCCCCGGCGUAUAGAACGGUAACCAGUCUCUCCAAAUAUCUGAGC